ensembl:lncRNA
CUUCAUAGCACUGCACACUGCUUCCAUCACCAGUCACAUCCACAACUGGACAUUUGCUUUGGCUCUAUCUCUUCAUUCUUUCUGAAGUUAUUUCUCCACUCUUGUCCAGUAGCAUUUUGGGCACUUACCGAGAUGUUGGGAAAAAACCUGAACUGCUGACCUGGGCAGAUUCCCACAGAUGAGAGAGAAAUUUUUGAAGUCCAGCCUUCCUGAAGGGAGAUUCCAGCAUGCAAUUGGUGCUAUGGAGAGGGAGUUUAAGUCACAGUUAAAAAACUUCCCACAAAGAAAACUCCAGGUCCAGGUGAUUCACACAAGCUGGGAUUUGGUUCUCACCUUCAAAGAAAAUGUCCUGAAGUAAAGGAGAGUUUUGGUGCAGUAUUCAAAGGAUACAUUUUCUAGCUGCUGCUUGUGUCUGCUUGUGUUCACUGACUACUUUUCCAGGCUGGAUUCUGCUCCUUCUUGGCUAAGAUUCUGAGGCCUGCUGCCUUCCUUCUUAAGCCUGUGAGGUUCUCUGGUUCCUGUUAGCUUUGUAGGCUACCUUAAGCAUCAGUGACUUCUGAUAUCAUAAGUAUAUACUCUUAUUCCAAUUCUUUGGGUACUUGAUCCUCAACUCAAACACUGUCACCAACUUCCAUACUCAAGGGGAGCCUUUCCCCAUCUUUUUGGUCCCUUGUUCUAAUGCCAGCUCCCCUGUUACACCUCCUGACAUCUGAGCACAUAAGCUGUUGCCCAUGGCCUGGCAAAUUGUUGAGUAAUCAAAUUGUUGAACAUCUUGAUGCUGUCUGGACUACCCCAAAGAUGAAUAUGAAUGAAGCUGCUAUUGAGUUUGAAAAACCUUGAGUCCCUGGUGGAAAAAAAUGGAUAAUCACUAAAGUUACAUAAUUUUGAACUGCGUGCAAUAAUCAGCUCUCCUCUGGAAUCAUAAUGAAAAGAUAUGAUUACACUUUUAAUUAGGAAAUUAUCAUAAUUUGUACUGAAAUAAAAAACAAUGUGGAAG